rnacentral:misc_RNA from 1 species
AAAUCAUGAUCCUAUGCCAUCUGAAUCUGGAGAGACACAAAACUCAAAGAGUCUGGUUGCAGAAGAGGGAUCAGUUGAUUGUAGUGAUAAUUUAAGAAAUCACAUUGAUUUGAAUGUGAGUGUGACUGAAGAAGAGGCUCAACCAACACCUUUCUCUCCACAAACUAAGGUGAAGGUUGCACUUGAGAUAGAUUUGGAGGCACCAAUAUUUCUUGACAGUGAAAUAGAUAUUACUUCUGGAGGUGAAUUCGUAGAGAGCAAACUUAAAGAACCAUUUGACUCAAUAAAUGAUGAAUCAAGGGACUUUAAUGAAGGCUUUCUGAAGGAUGCAGCUGAGGUCCUAAUUGCCAUCUCAUCAUCAUGUGCGCAUGAUAUUCAAGAUGAUACCAGUCAUCACCAAGUGGAAGCUUCAGUGAGUGAAUCUCUUAAAUGGUUUGCAGAGAUAAUUACUUCUUACAAGGUUGAGGUUGAGAAUAAUUUAUCAGUUUCAGCUGGCACAGAUAGUACAGAUCGUGGAGAUUCCUUGCCAAAUGGUGUUGAUUAUUUUGAGUAUAUGACGCUAAAUUUGACAGAAGCCAAGUUAGAAGAGUAUCACUGUGAGCCUCAGAUUAUAGAGAACUCAAAAGAUGAAGUCACACUGCUAAGACGACCUCGGAGAGGUCAGGCAAGAAGAGGAAGGCAGCGGAAGGACUUUCAAAGGGAUGUACUUCCUGGUCUUGCCUCUCUGUCCAGGAAUGAUGUGGCUGAGGAUCUUCAGACCAUCGAAGGGCUUAUUAAGGCAACGGGUGGCAUUUGGCAAUCAAGUUUCUCACAGAGGAACUCUCCUAGGGGCAAAGGAGGGAGGGGGAGAAAGCGUUUAGGGGCUAAUGCUACCUCCCCUGCAGUAACUGCAGUUUGCCCACCUCAGACCCUGCAACCUAAAUGCGGGGAGCUGGUACUUGAGGAGACUAGACUAACAGGAUGGGGAAAGAGGACAAGGCGUCCGCCAAGACAGAGAUGUCCGAUUAAUCAUCCUCCUUUUCCAUUACAAUAAAGAGAGAGAGUUCAAAUGAU